GCCGGUUUAGCUCAACGGUAGAGCAAGCCCCUCAUGAGGGCCGGGUUGCAGGUUCGAAUCCUGUCGCCGGUACCA
rnacentral:tRNA from 1 species